CUGAGAAGAGAAGGAAUGAGCAAACUAGCUCUAUGACUUGUGCAUCUCUGUCCUCAACCCAGCUUUUGCCAGCUGCCUCUUCAGGAGGAAGGAAUGAGAUGGGUUUCAGGGUCCUGUUGGAAGUGGAGAAGGGCAUGUCAGCGUGAGGGCUGAAAAGCCCCGAGUAUCUCAGGAGGAGUUUAUAGCCUUUCAUCAUUUUCAUUGAUCAGGAUCAACAUUAAUCUGGUAUCAAGUUCAGUCAGUUGUGAGAGCACUCAAAUGGUGAAAACUACAGUGGGUAGCAUACCUUUCAUGAGGACCCAGGCAUGAUUACACAAGUACUUCUUGCCAGCAAAAGUAGACCAAAACAUGAAACAAAAUAGUCCUUUUAAGUUAUGUCCAAAAAUACUAUUAUAAAUGCAACCAAUGGUUAGUGUGUUGUACUUCCGUAUGCUCUUAGUAUGUUGUUACAGCUCUG